AAAUGCUCUGUUACAAUUUCCUUUUCUCACUCUACCAGUUACUAACGGCCAUCAUUAUGUCCUUUGCACUGCAGAUGAACGAUGAUUUAGAUGGAGGUCCCAGGACAAGAGCCGAUGGAAAACCAGUCAGGAAGCAUGAACCAUUCAAGAGGAAACAUCGAUAAGUGUCUACUGACUCUUACUUCUUCAUUAUCUAGUGUUUAACGG